GAGGCCACUUAGCAGCCUCUGCUAAUUCCUGCCAGGGCUGAGGGAGAGGGCCUGGAUGGCCAGGACAGGCCUCUGGGUAGCCCCUCCCCAGAGAACGAGACUGCCUCCAAGGGAGUCAGCACUAGACAGGGCCUGCCUGGGCCCUGGGGCCCCGCUGCCUGAGACCAGAUCCAAGCUGGCCUCUUCUACAUUUCCUUGCACCCCAGCAAGUCCAUUUUAGGCCCAAGUGAUAUAAGCUGUCAGUCCACCCCUCUGUGGUCAUGAUGCAGCCAGCCAAGAGAAUGCCUUUGGUUACCAUGGUGGCCACAGGCACAUCAUCUGCCAAGAGCUUUGCCAUGCCUGUCCAGCCUUAGAGUUCUGAGCCAUUACCUGCUGUCCAUGGUCACACCAAAGCCCCAAGGGAAAUUUCUAGGCUUUUCGAUGAGCUCUAGGAGGCAUCAGACUGGAGGCCUGGGACCUUAGUACAAAGUUGGAUGAUCCAGGGUUGGAAGCUUAUCGUGAUUAAGGGCAAGCAGAUUUGGAAAACAAGAGUUCUGCCAGGAUUGAAGCAGUUGUUCGACUGUUCCUGCCCACACGGAGGAAAACAAGUCUCCAGAAUGUGUAAUCAACACAGUCUGAGUGAGAAAGGGAAGCUAAUCUUCCAGGAGCCGUCAUCUGGUCCAGAAACUAGCUUGAAUGACCCAGGUCUUCACCCCUCCCUAUGCCAUGGGACUUGGCUGUUCUUCCUCCAAAAAACUGGACUAUAUCUCCCAUCCCUUCACAUUAGGCUCAGCACCAUGACUUACCCAAUGGGAUGUUGGUGGGUAUGACAUAAAAGCUUGUAAAGUGCUUGCCUGACUGGGCUUGUUCUCUUGUACUUCUGCCCUCAUUGCCAUGAGAAG
rnacentral:lncRNA from 9 species